rnacentral:rRNA from 1 species
UCCGGUGACUUUACCAGGCAGGUCACACGCGUUCCCAUUCCGAACACGACCGUUAAGCUGCCUGGGCCGAUGAUAGUGCCGCAAGGUGCGAAAGUAGGUCAUUGCCGGAU